rnacentral:sRNA from 1 species
GCUGGGCACAGUGGCGUGUGCCUGUAAUCCCAGCGGCUCAGGAGGCUGAGACAGGAAGAUCGCGAGUUCAAAACCAGCCUCAGCAAAAGUGAAAGUGAGGCACUAAACAACUCAGUGCGACCCUAUCUCUA